AUUGAACGCUGGCGGCAUGCCUUACACAUGCAAGUCGAACGGUAACGGGCCUUCGGGUGCCGACGAGUGGCGAACGGGUGAGUAAUACAUCGGAACGUGCCCAAUCGUGGGGGAUAACGAGGCGAAAGCUUUGCUAAUACCGCAUACGAUCUACGGAUGAAAGCAGGGGACCGCAAGGCCUUGCGCGGACGGAGCGGCCGAUGGCAGAUUAGGUAGUUGGUGGGAUAAAAGCUUACCAAGCCGACGAUCUGUAGCUGGUCUGAGAGGAUGAUCAGCCACACUGGGACUGAGACACGGCCCAGACUCCUACGGGAGGCAGCAGUGGGGAAUUUUGGACAAUGGGCGCAAGCCUGAUCCAGCCAUGCCGCGUGCAGGAUGAAGGCCUUCGGGUUGUAAACUGCUUUUGUACGGAACGAAAAGCCUUCUUUUAAUACAGGAGGGUCAUGACGGUACCGUAAGAAUAAGCACCGGCUAACUACGUG
rnacentral:rRNA from 1 species